rnacentral:tRNA from 1 species
UUCUAACAUGGCAGAAUAGUGCAAUGGUCUUAAACUCCAUAAAUAAGGCGCAAGCCUUUAUUAGAAA